rnacentral:rRNA from 1 species
UACGUAGGGGGCAAGCGUUGUCCGGAUUUAUUGGGCGUAAAGAGCGUGUAGGCGGUUAGGUAGGUCCGUUGUGAAAACUCGAGGCUCAACCUCGAGACGCCGAUGGAAACCCCCUAACUAGAGUCCGGAAGAGGAGAGUGGAACUCCUGGUGUAGCGGUGAAAUGCGCAGAUAUCAGGAAGAACACCCGUGGCUAAGGCGGCUCUCUAGUACGGUACUGACGCUGAGACGCGAAAGCGUGGGGAGCGAACAGG